rnacentral:rRNA from 1 species
UCGAACGAAGCUUGACGAAUGAUUUCUUCGGAAUGAAAUCUGAUAUGACUGAGUGGCGGACGGGUGAGUAACGCGUGAGCAACCUGCCCUUCGGAACGGGAUAGUGUCUGGAAACGGACAGUAAUACCGUAUAACGUAUUUUUACCGCAUGAUAGAAAUACCAAAACUGAGGUGCCGAAGGGUGGGCUCGCGUCUGAUUAGAUAGUUGGUGGGGUAACGGCCUACCAAGUCGACGAUCAGUAGCCGGACUGAGAGGUUGAACGGCCACAUUGGGACUGAGACACGGCCCAGACUCCUACGGGAGGCAGCAGUGGGGAAUAUUGCACAAUGGGGGAAACCCUGAUGCAGCAACGCCGCGUGAAGGAAGACGGUUUUCGGAUUGUAAACUUCUGUUCUUAGUGAAGAAUAAUGACGGUAGCUAAGGAGCAAGCCACGGCUAACUACGUGCCAGCAGCCGCGGUAAUACGUAGGUGGCAAGCGUUGUCCGGAAUUACUGGGUGUAAAGGGAGCGUAGGCGGGAUGCCAAGUCAGCUGUGAAAACUAUGGGCUUAACCUGUAGACUGCAGUUGAAACUGGUAUUCUUGAGUGAAGUAGAGGUUGGCGGAAUUCCGAGUGUAGCGGUGAAAUGCGUAGAUAUUCGGAGGAACACCGGUGGCGAAGGCGGCCAACUGGGCUUUAACUGACGCUGAGGCUCGAAAGUGUGGGGAGCAAACAGGAUUAGAUACCCUGGUAGUCCACACUGUAAACGAUGAUAACUAGGUGUGGGGGGUCUGACCCCUUCCGUGCCGCAGCUAACGCAAUAAG